CGCGUAGGUGGCCCGUUAAGUGGUCGGUGAAAUCCCGCGGCUCAACUGCGGGGCUGCCGAUCAGACUGGCGAGCUAGAGCACGGUAGGGGCAGAUGGAAUUCCCGGUGUAGCGGUGGAAUGCGUAGAUAUCGGGAAGAAUACCAGUGGCGAAGGCGUUCUGCUGGGCCGUUGCUGACACUGAGGCGCGACAGCGUGGGAGCAAACA
rnacentral:rRNA from 1 species